rnacentral:rRNA from 1 species
GACGAACGCUGGCGGCGUGCCUAAUACAUGCCAGUCGAGCGAAGUUUUUCUGGUGCUUGCACUAGAAACACUUAGCGGCGAACGGGUGAGUAACACGUAAAGAACCUGCCUCAUAGACUGGGACAACUAUUGGAAACGAUAGCUAAUACCGGAUAACAGUAUUUCUCGCAUGAGAGAUAUUUAAAAGUUGGUUAUGCUAACACUAUGAGAUGGCUUUGCGGUGCAUUAGCUAGUUGGUGGGGUAAAGGCCCACCAAGGCGACGAUGCAUAGCCGACCUGAGAGGGUGAUCGGCCACACUGGGACUGAGACACGGCCCAGACUCCUACGGGAGGCAGCAGUAGGGAAUCUUCCGCAAUGGGCGAAAGCCUGACGGAGCAACGCCGCGUGAGUGAAGAAGGAUUUCGGUUCGUAAAGCUCUGUUGUUAGGGAAGAAUGGAUAUGUAGUAACUAUACAUGUAAGAGACGGUACCUAACCAGAAAGCCACGGCUAACUACGUG